CAGAGAUGGUGGAUCCUGAGCCUCCUGAUCCUUUCCAGCCUCAGCAGCCUCACUCAACCAGUCCAGGUGAGAGAUGAUGAGUGGGAGGAGCUUGGACCGGACAUCGCUGCACUGUACCGUCUGAGGAACCUGCAUAAACACAUGUCUCGGACAAGGAUCGACGAUCUGCACUACAAAGCCACACUGGAGACAGACGGGACAGAGAGGGGACAGAGAGAAUGGACAUGACCUCCGUCAAAGAGCCGAAGCUGGACUCAAACAUGAACUCCGUCCUGGAACAUGGUGUCCUUGUA